rnacentral:lncRNA from 1 species
UGUCUAAUAAUUUCUAAUGAUUUAUUAAUAAAUCAAUUCCAGUUAUUAAGAAAAAUAACUUUUUUAAAUGGGCAAAAGAUAAACAGAUAUUUCUCAAAACACACAAAUAGCUAACAGAUAUAAGAAAUGCUCAACAUCUCUAAUUAUCAAGGAAACACAUAUUAAAACCCAAUCAGAGAUCACCUGUUAACAAUGGUUAUGAUCAAAAAGACAAAUAAGUAUUAGUGAGAAUUUUGAGAAAAGGGAACCCUUGUACACUCUUGGUGGGAAUGUAAAUUAGUACAGCCAUUUUGGAAAAUAGUAUGAAGUUUCCUCAAAAAACUAAAAAAAACAGAAUUACCCUGUAUCCCGGCAAUCCCAAUUCUGGAUAUGUAUCCAAGGAACUGAAAUCAGUAUGUUGAAGAGAUAUUUGCACUCCCAUGUUCAUUUCAGCAUUAUUCACAGUAGCCAAGAUAGGGAAGUAACCUAAGUUUCUGUCAAUGAAUGAAUGGGUAAAGAAAAUGUAGUAUACAUGCUGGAAUACUAUACAGCCUUAAAAAAGGAAGGAAAUUCUGUCACUUGCAGUAACAUAGACAGAAUUGAAGGACAUUAUGCUAAGUGAAAUAAGCCAGGAAGAGAAAGAAAUACUGUAUGAUCUCACUUAUAUGUAGAACCUAAAAAAGUUAAUCUCAUAGAAACAAUACAAAGGUGGUUACAAGAGGCUGGGAAGUAAGGGAGGAAUGGAGAAAGAGAAGAUGUUGAUCAAACAGUACUGAGUUCCAGUUAGACAACAGGAAUACAUUUUAGUGAUCUAUUGCAUGGCAUGGUGACCACAGUUAAUGCAUAUUUCAAAAUAGCUAACUUAUAUUUUUAACAUUUUCUCCACAAAAAAAAUGAUAAACUGGUGAAGUGAUGGAUAUAUUAGCUUGGUCAAAUCUUUCUACAUGUACACAGAUAAAAACAUCACAUUGUAUCCUAUAAAUAUACACAAUUAUUUCCUGUCAGUUAAAAAUAAAUGACAAAGGCCAGGCACAGUGCCUCACGCCUGUAAUCCCAGCACUUUGGGAGGCCGAGGUGGGCGGAUCAUGAGGUCAGGAGAUCGAGACCAUCCUGGCUAACAUGGUGAAACCCCAACUCCAGUAAAAAUACAAAAAAUUAGCCGAGCAUGGUGGUGGGCACCUGCGCCUGUAGUCCCAGCUACUCGGGAGGCUGAGGCAGGAGAAUGGCGUGAACCCUGGAGGCGGAGGUUGCAGUGAGCCGAGAUCAUGCCACUGCACUCCAGCCGGGGCAACAGAGUGAGACUCCAUCUCAAAAAUAUAAAUAAAUAAAUAAGAAAAAAGGGGAUAUGUUACACCUGUUCAAAUAUAUAAUCUGACUUUGCUAUUUACAUAUUACCAAAAUUCCAACUUAAAUUUAUUGUUACUCUAGUUUUAAUGGUUUCACAAAUACAAAAGUUGCUAGAUAAGCAGUACCAACAUAUCUAAAUCUCCAAUGAUGUUCAAUUAAAAUUUUAUUUAUAGACUCAUACACUCAGCAAAACCACUCAUUUAAUAAGUCCAACUGAAAUAAAUUCUUAUUAAUAAAAUACCUAUAUUGAAAGUAAUAUAUUGUAAGAACUCUACCUUAAAUUGACCAUGGGGAUGAACUACAAUGUCAUAAAAUAUGAGCCAAAAUGUUCACUCAAUAAUUUUAAUUACAUCACAAUUAAGCCCAGAACUAUGCCUUUUUUUGUGUAAGGCUGAAUAAGGACGAAACUGAUGAGAGAAAAUUGCUUUCUAAAGCAUCAUUUACUGCAAUAACUUACUUUAUGCAAUAACCAACAUCACGAGACUGCAAAUACUGAAUAAUUAUGGUUAUUUAUGAAUAGCAUUUAUUCACUCCUACAUUCUGACAGGAGUGAAAUUUUAAGACCAAAAUAAUAGCCGGGCAUGGUGGCACAUGCCUGUAAUCCCAGCUACUUGGGAGGCUGAGGCAGAAGAACUGCUUGAACCCAGGAGGUGGAGGUUGCAGUGAGCCAAGAUCAUGCCAUUGCACUCCAGCCUGGGCAACAAGAGUGAAACUCUGUCUCAAAAAAAAAAAAAAGACCAAAAUAAGAGAUUGCUGAAUUUCAUGUACCCACACUGAAGAAAAAAAACAAAAACAAAAACAAACAAAAAAAGAUUUGGAACAAGAAUUAGAUUCAAAUUUUACCUAUUUGUACCACACCUCUGGGCUGACUCACCUGAAAGAUGUGCAAUGCUUACCUGUCUUGCAGUUGUCAUUAGGACUAAAUUAAUAAAUACAAGAAAACAACAAAGCUCCAGUAGGUACUUGGUAAAUGGCAGCUGUUAGAUGUAGCCAGAAUUCUUCAUUAAAACUUUUUUCAGUCUUUCUGAUAAUCAUUAAGUAUUUACACAACGUAAGGUAGAAUACUGUAUUUUCCUCUAGAGAUCAGAUUUUACAAUACUUCAGUAGUACAGCUGAAUUGAUUAUGGUGGGUAGGUGGCCCAGAAUUCUCCAGGAUAUUACUUUUACUAUACCUUAUUCUUUCCUAAACCAUUUGUAAAUAAUCCCAAAGUUUCUAUAAGCCUGUUACUAACUGAAAAUUAAUUACUCAGAUGUCUACAGUGACAAUCUUUAAGAACCGUGAGAUUAUAUGUUUCCUGAAAUUUCAAGACCCUAUCUGUUCAGCCAACUUUACAUUUUCUAUAGUACAGGGGUCUUUUUGUGGUUUUUGUUUUGCUUUGAUUUUUUACUCUAUAGAAUCUUUCUGGUCACAUAUUUUCUAAUAAAAAAAUUGGCCAUGUCACAUAUACUAGAACACUAAAAAAAAAAAAUGCUUGAUUAAUGAGCAUUACUGUCCUUAAACAUCUCAAUAGAAAAAGAAGGCAGUCUUUUGAUUACACAUAUCAAGUACAUAUAUAGGAACACACAACUACUCAUCUGAACAUCGUUAAAUACAAAGUAAUAAAGCAUACCUUCAAAAAGCAACCAGAAAUCAUACUGGUCUUCAGCUUUAAUGAAGUGGUUAGAAAGGUUUAUUUUGUGCUUAGGAUAUUUUUCUAAGGCAUCACAAGUUACACAUCCAAACU